rnacentral:lncRNA from 1 species
AUAUUCAGCAAUGUUGGAGACUUCUGUCUCUCUCUUUCCUCUGAGAAAUGUCAGCAAACUCAAAUAUCUUGUUUUGUGGUAUUCUAAGAAAAUCCUCCAUUCUUAUCCAACAAUAUAUACAUUUAAUUGAAUAUUUCUUACAGUAAUAUGACUUAGUUUAAAUGAAACAAUGCUCCUUCAUUAUCUGGGCUUCACUCCAGUCAUUGAACAAGACUAUCUAUUCAACAGGAACAUGAGUUGACUCUAUCUAAUAUUUCAACACAUCCCACCCUCUUACAUUUAAAUUUUUUACAUUUUAGUCAUUUAGCAGACGCUCUUAUCCAGAGCGACUUACAGUAGUGAAUGCAUACAUUUCAUACAUUUUUUUUCCCAUUUUCUUUUCAUAUAUAUAUAUUUUUUUACAUAAACUCCCCAGACGGAUGUAUACGUUAGGAAAAGAUUCAAUGAGAAUAACUGAGUUGAAUUUGAAUUUAAGUUUCAAGUUUUUUAUUGCCACGUGCACUAGUACAGUGAAAUGCCUUACUUGCUUGCUCCUUCCCGACAAUGCGGUAGUACUAUAAAAAAUAAAUACAAAAAGUCAAGUAGAACAAAAAAACACAUGAGAAAUAGAAAUAACAACACAAGAAAGUGGGUAAGCUAUAUACAGGGUCAGUUCCUGGGUCAGUGCGAAUACCAUUUUUACAAUGUGCAGGGAUACUGGAGUAGUACGGUUAAAUGUGUAUAGGGGUAAGGUGACUACGCAUCAGGAUUUAUGCUAAACAGUGUAGCAACAGCGCAUAUGAUGAUUGCAUGAGAGUGUGUGUGUGUGUAGUCAGUGCUUGUUGUGUGUGUGUGUGUGUGUGUGUGUGUGUGUGUGUGUGUGUGUGUGUGUGUGUGUUGGCGUGUCAGUGUGAGUGUGUGUAGAGUUUGCAUAGAGACUAGAGAAUCGAGAAAUUCAAUAAAAUAGAAGGGUCAAUGCAGAUUGAUAAAUAGCAACCAAAAAAAUGGCUACAUUGACUGUCUUAUGGCUUGGGGAUAGAAGCUGUUCAGGAGACUUUUGGUGUCGGACUUGAUUCUCCAGUACCGCUGCCGUGCGGAAGCAGAGAGAAUGUUUAUGUACAUGGGGCAGAUACACAGCAAAUUCUGCAGUGUUAAAUGUAACACUGGUCCAGUUUAUAUAUGGGUCUACACUUGUCAGUGUUUAAUUAACACACAGCUUAGUGUAAAGCCUGACUUGCAUAUUUCCCAGAGUGCAUUGCUUUUCAAGUGAAUUAUAGAGCUACCACACAUGACUGUAUUUUUUAGUGACAGGCAUGGUUGUUGUAAUAAUCCAUUUUCAGUCCUGUGGCCUUCACCAAGUGAGAUCCUGAUUGAAUAUGUUAGCAUUAAAAUGUAAUUAUUUAACACGAUACAACAAGUAUUUAAUAAGGCCUUAUUUUGAGGUCCUAGUUUGACCCUAGUACAGUGGCCUUGAACUCAAGGUUUUCAGGCCUGCAAUUCACAUUAUGAUGGCUUGCAAAGUGAUUUGUAAUUCCUAUUGCACUCCAGCAAGAGUGGAGAUAUAUUUUUUAUUUUACAUGUAUGUUUUUGUCAUUUAGCAGAUGCUCUUAUCCAGAGCGAUUUACAGGUGCAAUUAGGAUUAAGUGCCUUGCUCAAGGACACAUCGACUGAUUUUUCACCUUGUCUGCUCGGGAUUCAUGUAUGGGAUUCAUGUACAGGGAAAAAUGUAUGUUAUUUAUAUUUGAGUAGAAUAAGAUUAAUGAAUCAAUCAAUGUACAUAGAUAUGGAAACAAACAAUUUAAUGAAUCAACAUGCAAUAGAGCAUGCUGGGAAAUAUGAUAAUGAUGGGCAUGGUUUUUGCUGAACACUGGCUUUAAACACCAACACUGGGGUUAAUUUACACCAAUGAGUGUUAAUUUAACACUUACAGAGUUCAUUUAAUAACACCUGAAUGAACACUAGAAAUGUUACACUGAAAAAUCAACACCAGGUAACACUGAACAAUUUGCUGUGUACAAGUAAAACAUUAACACGAUUCAUUGAAAAAUAAACCAGACUUUGAACGAAAGUUUAAAAUAAUUUAAUUGCAAAGAUCACAGCUAAGAUAAAAUAUACUGAACACAACAUAAAUAUAAAGCCCAACAUGCAACAUUUUCAAAGAUUUUACUGAGUUACAGUUCAUAUAAGGAAAUCAGUCAAUUGAAAUAGAUUAAUUAGGCCCUAAUCUAUGGAUUCCAUGACUAGGAAUACAGAUAUGCAUCUGUUGGUCACAGAUACCUUUUAAAAAAGGUAUGCGUAUGGAUUGGAAACCAGUCAGUAUCUGGUGUGGGCAUCAUUUGCCUCACACAUCUCCUUCGCAUAGAGUUUAUCUGGCUAUUGAUUGUGGUCUGUGGAAUGUUGUUGAUCCUGAGCAUCCCAAACUUGCUCAAUGGGUUACAUGUCUGGUGAGUAUGCAGGCCAUAGAGAUUUGCAGAUUUCAGGAAUUGUGUACAGCUCCGUGCGCAUUAUCAUGCUGAAACAUGAGGUGAUGGUGGCAGAUGAAUGGCACGACAAUGGGCCUCAGGAUCUCAUCACGGUAUCUCUGUGCAUACAAAUUUCCAUCAAUGAAAUACAAUUGUGUUCGUUGUCCGUAGCUUAUGCCUGCCCAUACCAUAACCCCACCGCCACCAUGGGACAUUCUGUUCAAAACGUUGACAUGAGCAAACCACUCACCCACAUGAUGCCAUACACGCUGUCUGUCAUUUGCCCUGUACAGUUGAAACCAGGAUCCAUCCGGGAAGAGCACACUUCUCCAGCGUGCCGGUAGCCAUCGUAGGUGAGUAUUUUCCACCUGAGGUCGGUUACAAAACCGAACUGCAGUCAGGUCAAGACCCUGAGGAGGACGACGAGACCCUGGGGAGAACGGCAAGCACGCAGAUGAGCAUCCCCGAGACGGUUUCUGUGCAGACAGUUUGUGCAGAUAUACUUUUGUUGUGCAAAUCCACAGUUUCAUUAGCUGUGGCUGAUCUCAGACGAUCCCGAAGGUGAAGAAGCCAGAUGUGGAGGUCCUGGGCUGGCGUGGUUACACGUGGCCUGCGGUUGAGAGGCCAGUUGGAUGUACUGUCAUAUUCUCAAAAACAACGUUGGAGAAUGCUUAUGGUGGAGAAACGAACAUUCAAUUCUCUGGCAACAUCUCUGGUGGACAUUCCUGCAGUCAAAAUGACAAUUGCUCGCUCCCUCAAAACACGAGACAUCUGUGGCAUUGUGUUGUGUGACAAAUCUGCACAUUUUAGAGUGGCCUUUUAUUGUCCCCAGCACAACAUGCAUCUGUGUAAUGAUCAUGCUUUCUUGAUAUGCCACACCUGUCUGGUGUAUGGAUUAUCUUGGCAAAGGAGAAAUGCUCACUUGCAGGGAUGUAAACAAAACAUACCAUAGCCCCAACGCCGCCAUGGGGCACUCUGUUCACAAUGUCGACAUCAGCAAACCGCUCGCCCACAUGUCGCCAUAGAGGUGGUCUGCGGUUGUGAGGCAGAUUUCUGGGAUCUUUUAUUUCAGCUCAUGAAACAUGGGACCAAAACUUUACAUGUUGCGUUUAUAUUUUUGUUCAGUAUAAUAAACCAUACAAUCAUAUAACCAUGUCAGAUUAGUAAAACAAUUAUAAUACUAGUACUGCAAUUAGUCUCCUUUUGUAGGUAUUCACAGUGUCAAAUAAUUUAUUCACGGAAUUUAGAUUCUUUGAGGAGGAUCCUGCUCCUCAGCUGUAAAUCACUCCAUAUCAAAUGCUGUUUCAGCGGAAGUCUCCUCCUCGCAUUUCAAAUCCCCUCUCUGCCUCAGACUGACCUUAAGUGUAAUGUUAAUAGUGCCGCAGCCCUCUGCAGACACCUCAGUACAGACACGGACAGGGCUAUAUACCGAUUCUUUAAUGAUUUUCAUACAUGCGGAUUGCAGCUGAACGAGCAACCUCGAUGAUAAGUCGCUUGUUUCUUUCCCUUCAUCGUUCUUCUUGUUUUUCUCAGUCGUCUCUUUAGCACUGGGGCUAGAUUCAAGUUCUUCUGACUCUAUAGCAGCUACAUCUUCAAGAACAUCUGCAAUUUCUUCCAGCUCUUCUAGUUCUGCAGCGAUUGCUGAGUAUAUAGCAGCUUCAUUUUCAAGAACAUCUGCAAUUUCUUCCAGCUCUUCAGCGAUUGCUGAGUCUACAGCAGCUUCAUUUUCAAGAACAUCUGCAAUUUCUUCCAGCUCUUCUAGUUCUGCAGCGAUUGCUGAGUAUAUAGCAGCUUCAUUUUCAAGUUCAUCUGCAAUUUCCUCCAGCUCUUCUUUGGGUACGGGGCUCUUCUCCACAGUUGUAUCCUCUGUGGGUUCUUCACCAAAGACCGGUUCUGUUGUCUCCUCUUCAGGUGGGCUGACACUUUCCUCCGUAGGCUGCUCUUCAGAUCUUUCAGUGGUGAUUUGAAUGAUGUCUGCCGUAAGAAAAUCCAGCAGUGAUGAAAGUUCAGGCUCUGCCUCCGGAAAUGAGAAUCUGACUGCCAGUUGCUUUGGAAACAAAUGUGCAGCCAUCAAGACUUCACUUUUCUCCUUUGAAUCAAUAAGAAUUUUUGUUAGAUUUGUAAUGUGUUUUGUUAAACACUGGAAAGUGAAGAAUGACGUGUUGAUGUUCACACAACAGAUGCAAUAUUAUUGUAAGUUAAUGUUACCAAUUCAAAGUACAACUCACAUUAUAGUGGCUAUAUCCUUAGUUAACUACAUUGGAAUAACCAAAAUCAUUUAGAUGUAGAUAUAUGAACAUCUCAAGUUAGGAGUUGAUGAUCAUUAAUCAAUGAUCACUACACUGAGUAAAGUUGAAAUGGAUCUUAUGCCAACCCAAUUUGAAGGGACUACUGAUUAGAUACUUACAGUGUGGAUCCCAUUGAUCACCGUUACAGGGACUUCCGGGGAACUCUUACUCUCCUCCACAGUUUUCUCCUUUAUGGGCUCCUCCUUUUCAGGGGCUGGAUCAGGGUUGGGUUGAGGUGUAGCUUUCUUCUUGAAGAGGUUGUCAAAUACGUUAACUCUUUCUUUUGAACUCUCCUUGGGCUCCUUCUUUUGGUGGUUUGGUUCCGGUAUGGUUUUCGCCUUAGCAGUCUCUGCUUCCGUUUCUGGAACAUUCUCAAUGACAGGCUCCUGUUCCACCCCCACAGGCGCACAACCACUGCCGUUUGCCUCCACUAUACCUGGCUCUUUAGCGGGAGGCAGUGAGGAAGGCUGACUGUUCUGCUCCACAGCUGCUUCACUGGUAUCUGCAAGAGAUAGGUUACUUGGUGUGGUGUGACAGGAAAUAGAAAGUUAUUUGCUAUGAUUCAUCAUUUGUACACAAGGAUCAGUUACCGCUCUGUCUCUAGCUGCUGUCUCCUGUUCCACAUCUCAACUACCUUGCUCUGGAUUUUAC